GACGAACGCUGGCGGCGUGCUUAACACAUGCAAGUCGAACGGAAAGGCCCUGCUUUUGUGGGGUGCUCGAGUGGCGAACGGGUGAGUAACACGUGAGUAACCUGCCCUUGACUUUGGGAUAACUUCAGGAAACUGGGGCUAAUACCGGAUAGGAGCUCCUGCUGCAUGGUGGGGGUUGGAAAGUUUCGGCGGUUGGGGAUGGACUCGCGGCUUAUCAGCUUGUUGGUGGGGUAGUGGCUUACCAAGGCUUUGACGGGUAGCCGGCCUGAGAGGGUGACCGGCCACAUUGCGACUGAGAUACGGCCCAGACUCCUACGGGAGGCAGCAGUGGGGAAUAUUGCCCAAUGGGCGGAAGCCUGAUGCAGCAACGCCGCGUGCGGGAUGACGGCCUUCGGGUUGUAAACCGCUUUCGCCUGUGACGAAGCGUGAGUGACGGUAAUGGGUAAAGAAGCACCGGCUAACUACGUG
rnacentral:rRNA from 1 species